AUUGAACGCUGGCGGCAGGCCUAACACAUGCAAGUCGAACGGUAACAGGAAGAAGCUUGCUUCUUUGCUGACGAGUGGCGGACGGGUGAGUAAUGUCUGGGAAACCGCCUGAUGGAGGGGGAUAACUACUGGAAACGGUAGCUAAUACCGCAUAACGUCGCAAGACCAAAAAAGGGGGGACCCUUCGGGGCCUCUUGCCAUCGGAUGUGCCCAGAUGGGAUUAGCUAGUAGGUGGGGUAACGGCUCACCUAGGCGACGAUCCCUAGCUGGUCUGAGAGGAUGACCAGCCACACUGGAACUGAGACACGGUCCAGACUCCUACGGGAGGCAGCAGUGGGGAAUAUUGCACAAUGGGCGCAAGCCUGAUGCAGCCAUGCCGCGUGUAUGAAGAAGGCC
rnacentral:rRNA from 1 species